rnacentral:lncRNA from 1 species
UAUUUAUUUAUUUAUUUAUUUAUUUAUUUAUUUAUUUAUUCAAAGUAUCAUUCAUUUCUGUUACUUGACUGCCUAUCCUGUCUCCAAGGUAAAUUAUACAAAACUGUUAGCUGAAACUCAUUCUUACUAUUUAAGAAUUUACAACCCAAAAUUGCUUUUAUUACUUAUUCUGAAAGAUACUAUAGUAUCUAUCUUUCAGAUACUUUCAGAUAUCUUCCUGUCAAGCUGCCUAGAAUCAACUCUCACUUCAAUUUUUUAGAGGACCUGUGACCUUAAACAAACCAUAUCCCUUCUUUGUGAUGGCUAAAAUUGUCUUUUUCAAAGGAUAUGGAAUGAUGUAGGAGACAGACAUUUGGGCAUGCUCAUGAGGGGUGUAUUUAGAUUAAGUUAACUGGAAUGGGAAGGUCUACCCUUAAUGUGGGCAACACCAUUCUGUGGGUUGAAGUCCUGAACUGAAUAAAAAGGAGAAACCUAAACCAGGCAGUGGUAGCACACGCCUUAAAUCCCAGCACUUGGGAGGCAGAGGUAGGUGGAUUUCUGAGUUUGAGGCCAGCCUGGCCUACUGAGUGAGUUCCAGGACAGUCAGGGCUACACAGAGAAAAAAAAAAAAAAGGUGAAACCAAACUGAGCAGCCCCAUUCAUUUCACUGUUACUUGACUGGGAUUUUCAUUUGACCAGCUACAUCAAGCUCAUGCCUCUAUGUCAUCCCCACCAUGGCAAGCUCUUCCUGAAAUUCAACUAGAAGUAAACCCUUCCAUCCUCACGUUGUUUUUGUCUGGUGUUUUGUUGUAGCCAGAAUAGCUAACUGAUAUAACACUGCUCAAGACUGGUUUAAUAAAUGAAUAUAUAUACCAAGUAGCUAGUGUGCCUAGAAAACAAUGGACUAUAAUCCUCAGGCCAUAGGUAUACAUGAGAAGCAUCCUAUCAGAAAGGACACAUCACGUGCCUUACAAUCUUGGAUACUUCAUUCUAGAAGGCUGUAAGUGAUGUAACUUUCUGAUUCACCAGACCCAAAAAACAAUUUCCAUAAUUCAGCUCACAAACUGUUUUAAUGUUAUGUCCUUUAAGGCAAAGACCAACCUAGUUAAAUAUUUCUCUGUAUUCUAAAUUUAAUGUCUAUGUAUGCAUGCAGUAAACAUCUAAUUGUCUGACUAUAAAGGACUUCCUACACU